rnacentral:rRNA from 1 species
AUUGAACGCUGGCGGCAGGCCUAACACAUGCAAGUCGAGUGGUAGAGAGAAGCUUGCUUCUCUUGAGAGCGGCGGACGGGUGAGUAAUGCCUAGGAAUCUGCCUGGUAGGGGGGGAUAACGUUCGGAAACGGACGCUAAUACAGCAUACGUCCUACGGGAGAAAGCAGGGGACCUUCGGGCCUUGCGCUAUCAGAUGAGCCUAGGUCGGAUUAGCUAGUUGGUGAGGUAAUGGCUCACCAAGGAGACGAACCGUAACUGGUAUGAGAGGAUGCGCAGUCACACUGGAACUGAGACACGGUCCAGACACCGACGCGAAGCAGCAGUGGGGAGUAUUGGACAAUGGGCGAAGGCCUGAUCCAGCCAUGCCGCGUGUGUGAAGAAGGUCUUCGGAUUGUAAAGCACUUUAAGUUGGGAGGAAGGGUUGUAGAUUAAUACUCUGCAAUUUUGACGUUACCGACAGAAUAAGCACCGGCUAACUCUGUGCCAGCCGCCGCCGUAA